rnacentral:ncRNA from 1 species
GGCGCAGCAGUUGACUGGACAUCUAGGGGUAAAGCACUGUUUCGGUGCGGGCUGCGCGAGCGGUACCAAAUCGAGGCAAACUCUGAAUACUAGAUAUGACCCAAAAAUAACAGGGGUCAAGGUCGGCCAGUGAGACGAUGGGGGAUAAGCUUCAUCGUCGAGAGGGAAACAGCCCGGAUCACCAGCUAAGGCCCCUAAAUGACCGC